AUACUUACCUGGACGGGGCUUUUGGGCGAUCAAGAAGACCCAUAGCCUAGGUUGGUGACCUCCAUUGCACAUACAGGAGGGGUGCCCGCCUAAGGUCUGUCCAAUGUGGCAGAGCCUACGUCAUAAUUUGUGGCAGUGGGGGCCUGCGUUCGCGCGGCCCCUAU
rfam:Cucumis melo, WGS project CAJI01000000 data, contig: 23804